ensembl:misc_RNA
GUGGUGCCUCGGAGACUGGCGUCCUCUAUUUAUUGUCCGAACAGGGGAAAUGCAGGCCCUGGCAGUUCAAGGUUCCCGUACAGUACCCUACCAACAUUCCUCAGCCCUGCCCUGGAGGGAGCACCUCUCAGGGUGAAAGGGAAGUUCAGGCUCCUACCUUCUGCUCCACUCAAUCCUUGGCUUCU